rnacentral:tRNA from 1 species
UGCGCGGUAGGACAGUUGGUAGUCCGCCGGGCUCAUAACCCGGAGGCCGCAGGUUCGAGUCCUGCCCGCGCAACCA